GACAGAGGUGCCGAGCGUUAGGCGGAAUCACUGGGCUUAAAGCGUGUGUAGGCGGGUCGUUAAGUACCUUGUGAAAUCCCACGGCUUAACCGUGGAACUGCUGGGUAUACUGGCGAUCUUGAGCCACUUAGGGGUCAGCGGAACAAAUGGUGGAGCGGUGAAAUGCGUAGAUAUCAUUUGGAACGCCAAUGGUGAAAACAGCUGACUGGGAGUGUGCUGACGCUGAGACACGAAAGCCAGGGGAGCGAACGGG
rnacentral:rRNA from 1 species